AAUAAGUAGCAUAUCCACGCCCAUCAGCUCACGCCGCGUGAGUGGCAGUAAACGACGGCGGAGAUGGGCUGGUGGAAGUAGCGGCGGCUGAGAUCCUCGGAGAUGAGCUGGUUUGGUUUGCACUCAAGAGAGAAAAUCAGUAUAUAGGAAAGAGUAAACGGAAUCGAAAUCAUAAAGAAGAGAUUGAUGGAUCGAGAUGUAAUGGAGUAUUGAUUAUGGAGAUGAGGAUCGAGAGAACUGAAACGAUAGAGAGGAAACGGCGAAGACGAAGAGAUAGAGGAGAGAGCAUCGUGUUAUCCGUCUCAGGUUUUUUUUUUCUAAUUGUACCAGUAGAUUGAAACCGUGAAGCCCAAUAAAACCACAUUAAAGCCCAUACAAAAGCAACAUCUUUAGGAGAUCAUACGUGUAUUAUUGAAAUGUUUUGAUUGGCCGAAUAAAUUUGUCGACGUGGACACUGUGAAAUCACUCUAUAUCGGGCUUUUAGUAUAGGAUAGAUUCUUCGUAAUUCCAUGAUCGAAUCUGUAUUUGAGCAUAGAGAAACAAUGACAGAAAUUUGACAAAAGGAUUUACACAAGUAUACUAUAAACUAAUCCAGAAGGAUCACCAAUAAGCAUAAUUAUAUUCCCAGCCUUUAAUGCAAUAUAUUCUCUCCCUAAAAGCCAUAAAAAAUUUUAGUAUUUUUUUUGUUAAAGUUAAAAACUAGUUCUUAAAUUACGCUAAAAAUUUUAUCUUUAAAAAUCCACAUUAAUCAUGGUCUAAAAGCAUAAAAAUAAUAGUAUACGCGGGGUGAACUGAAUGCAAAAUGGCGAAAAGAAACGAUAAAGCAAAUGUGACCUUUAAUGCAACAAGUCUCAUACCAAAAGUCACAAAGAUAUUACUUAUGCAUGAAAAUAGUCAAAAAUGAAAACAAGCAUGAAAUUGGUAUUUAGGAGAGAUAUGACGAUGCUAUAAGUGAAACAAGCAUGAAAAUGGUAUGUGGGAGACGAACCGAAGCAAAACAGGAGAAGAAACAAUAAAGCAAGUGGCCGCAUCUAAUAUGGAUUAUGGAGUUAUUAAUAUCAUAGCCAGUGGUGUGACCUUUUACCUUUACUGCAAUAAGUCUCAUAACCAUAGGAACAAUAGGAACUCAAGUCAUUUACACUACAAGUGUACAACAAUAGGAACUCUCAUCUCAAACCUUAAAUGAUAAAAGUGUCUUGUUAUAAGAAAUUCAUGUUUUAGAGUAUGCAUCAGCCUAUAAAUAAAUCAUGAGACUCAAAGGUAACAAAAGAAUAAACUAUUUACAGUAUUGGAAGGGAGAAAAAAU